UUGGAGAGUAUGUUACUGGAGACUCUGAAGAAUUAUCGUUCGUAUUAUUGUGAUGCCAAAGAUCUCUUCAACCUGCACAAUCUUUGCAAUCUUCGCUACCUGGGAGCAUCAGUUACAGAGAUGCGACUUCAUAUUAUUGUGAUGCCAAAGAUCUCCUCAAACUGCACAAUCUUCGCUACCUGGGAGCAUCAGUUACAGAGAGGCAAGGGCGGCUCUAGGGUAAGGCAGGUGAAGCCCUUGCCGUAGUGCUACGAGCCAAGGUAGCCUUCACUAGCUAUACGUGCAUAAUAUGGCUAUCAAUUGAAGACUACAUGUAAUGAGUCUAUAGUUAUAAUAAGUGAUAGCUUAAAGGUAUUUAGGUCUUGUUAGCUGUAUACCCUCCCUCUUAAGGCUUUCAUUUUAAGGUUAGACUAUUUUAUUAAGUGAUUGCUUCUGAUGGUUUGAGUUUGAGCUGGUUUUCUGGGUGUGGAAAAGAGGGAGAAAAUAAGAAGGAAAAAGGUAGCCCGUUGAGGAUUUGAUUUGUUCGUCAAAGUUCCUAUUUUUAGUAGGUGUAAAAACUUAAUAGUUUAUCCACACCAUAUAAAUACGGGUACUUUUAUUUUUGAGUUUUUAAAAAUGUUAUACUAAUGCCAAAUAAAUUUGGUAUGUUUCGAU
rnacentral:lncRNA from 1 species